GAUCCUGGGGUCUGGAGGCCAGGGGUCGGGCCAUGAGGCUGUACCGGCAAAGGCGGUGCGGGCCCUGAAACCAGGCCAAGACAGAGCUGGCGGGAGGCAGCGGCCCCAAAGUCAGGACCGAGGAGGGCCGGGCUGACUGCCAAGGAGGGCCGGGCUGGCUGCCAGGGUCAACCAGGUGGAGGCCUUCGGGGUUCGGCAAGAGCAGUUCUGUGAGCUGGCGGAGCCUGGCGUCUGCCUGCGUGACGUGGAGGAACCGCAGGCGGCGACCGCGGACAGAAUGUACAGGUUUCUGGGCGAGGAAUGGAGAAUGAGGCGGAGCUGGGCUGCAGGAGACGGAGGCAGAGAGAGACGGCCUGGCGGGAGAUGCAGGGGCCCGCGGCAGGGCCCUGGAAACUCCAGGCGGGAGGAGGGACGUGGUGGCGGGCGGGAGGGCAAGGGCUGGGGCCCGGGCUCAUUCCGCAGAGCCUGCGGGUACAGCAGGCUGAGGGGUCAGCCUGAGCACAGGGAGCUGAAUAGCGAGCCCCGCCCGGCAGGGGAAAUGAAGGGAGGGUGGUGUGAGAGCGUCUGCCAGGGGCAGAAGGACACCGAGGGACGGCAAGCAGAGCCGAGGGAGUGCGCGCUGGCCCCGGAAGAGAGUGCGCUGGGCUGGCUGCUGAGCUACCCUCCGGAGCUGCAGGGGCUCGAGGGGCUGGAAAUGCUGCGGCAGAAACUGGAAGGCCCGUGCCUAGGUUGGCUUAGGAGUAGAGGGGUGCACCCUGGUCAACCCUGCACCUCCGGGGCGCCACGCGCUCGCUGGCGGGAGGGCGGAGGGAGGCGGGAAGGAGACGCUAAGGCGCUGCGAUCCCGGACGCGCAGCCCUCUCUCUAGGCGUGGAGGCUGCUGGAGCCGCCGGGCAGCUUCUCGGCGACUCCACGCGUGAGUGCAGAGAUGCUGCAGGGAGGCAGCGCUCACAAAAGCAGCUCCGCUCACAAAAAUACGGCCACACCGAGCAGACGUCUGCUUUGACACCACUCGACCCUGCCAAAAAGAGCAAUUAAUGGGAUCAGAAGGGCGGGAGGUGGGAGGGAAGGCGGGGAGUUCGCAAUGAGCAGAGCCUGGCUUUCUAUCCCAGGACAGCGUGGUGUUCUCAAGGGAAUUUAGACAAACAUUUCGUCCUAACCUCAACAACAGGUCCUCGUGAGUCCUCAUACAACCUAUCCUUAGGCGGUAACAGGCUGCAGCUGUUGAAGUCUAAUUUCACUCUAUUGAUUGGUACUUUCAAUGGAAUGCUUUCUGAUUAAUUCUGUGCCUUUAGUUUUACCCUGGACAUGUUUCAAGACAAUGUAUUAAUAGGACUCUGGUGUUACGUAUUCAAUCAAUUUAUAGAGGAAACCCAGAAAACUCAAAUAUGGUUAGAAGACUGGAUUAAAUGAUAUUUACUUUGGCAAUAGAGAAAUAAAAGUAUACUGAACUGAUGGAAAUAUUCUAAAACUAUAUUGCAGUGAUGGUUACACAACUCUACAGAUUUACUGACAAUGGGUGAAAUAUGUAGCAUGUUAAAAAUACCAGCUGUUAAAAAUGAAAAAAAAGUCUAUCAGUAAAAAAAUAAAUACGUGUCUAACUGGAAGAAGACAGGAUACAGAGGCAGGGGGGAAAGAGGGUAGGGGGGCUAAGACCCUCAUUCACAUCGUGGUGUGGCAGUUAAUACAGUCUAAGUUUACAGAACAAGAAAUUCAAGUUCAAGCAUAUUGCUUAAAUCUAGUUAACCUAUAGGAAAACUAAGUAUAAUAAUAUAAGCACAGCAAAGUAGGAGGAAGAAGACAAGUAGCCUUAAUCAGCUAAACCUUCCUCUUUUAUAAUGGAAAGCCACUGCAAAAGAAAUCGAGGUUGAUAAAUACAGAAGCUCGAUAAGUGUAUUAUUACUUAAAAUUUUGAAUUUUGAAAGGAACUCCCCAAAAAUCUAAAAAUGCUUCUUGUUAAAAAAAAUUUCUUUUUGGGAUAGGAUCUCUCUCUGUCACCCAGGCUGGAGUGGAAUGGUGUGAUCAUAGCACACUACAGCCUCUCUAACUCCUGGGCUCAAGCGAUCCUCACGUCUCAGCCUCCUGAGUAACUGUGACUACAGCCAUGUAAGACAUGCCUGUGCCUGCUUCCCCUUUGCCUUCUGCCAUGACUGAAAGUUUCCUAAGGCCUCCUCAGAAGCCGAGCAGAUGCCAGCAUCACGCUUCCUCUAAAGCCCGUGGAACCAUGAGCCAAGAUUUACAGUACUAUGUUGAAUAGAAGUGGUGAGAGAGGGCAUUCUUGUCUUGUUCCAGUUCUCCAGAGGAAUGCUUUCGACCUUCCCCCAUUCAGUAUGAUGUUGCAUAUGGGUUUGUCAUAUAUGGCUUUUACUACUUUCAGGCUGGAGUGAAGUGGCGUGAUCUCAGCUCACUGGAACGUCCACCUCCUAGGUUCAAGUGAUUCUCCUGCCUCAGCCUCCCAAGUGGCUGGGAUUACAGGGUUUUUCAUGGGCCGAUCUGCUGAAUUCAGCCUAGGAGCUGAGGCCAACAUCUGAGUCUCUUCAGCAUAUAAGUUUGAAAGAAGUCCUAGCAACUUCAAGCUUAGAACUACGGGUGGCAGCAGCUCCCUCUUGACGUCGAAGCCUCCCAUACCAGAGAGAGCCAAGGCCCGGAUCAAAAAAAGCCCACAAGCACCGAUGACUGAGCUGCUGACUACCCCAGCAUCUCCAACUCAACCUACUCUUUCUGCCUCUACCCAAAUUUUAAAACUUUUAAACAUGGGUUUAAAAAUGGUAAUGAGUAAAGUUGCAUCCAAGUGUAUCAAAUAAAAUUAAAUAUCCAUAAA